rnacentral:rRNA from 1 species
UACGGAGGAUCCAAGCGUUAUCCGGAUUUAUUGGGUUUAAAGGGUGCGCAGGCGGAAGAUUAAGUCGGCGGUGAAAUUUUGCAGCUCAACUGUAAAAGUGCCUUCGAAACUGGUUUUCUUGAGUGUGGAUGAAGUAGGCGGAAUUUGUGGUGUAGCGGUGAAAUGCAUAGAUAUCACGAGGAACUCCGAUUGCGAAGGCAGCUUACUAAGCCAUAACUGACGCUCAUGCACGAAGGCGUGGGGAUCAAACAGG